UGGGUGGUGAGAAAGUGUAUAGAAAUCUCUUAAAAACCCUCUUGAAAGUGCAAAUCUGGAGCAAAGUGUAGGGAGACCGCCAAGCGAAACUCAAAGGGGCAAAGCAAAGUGAAGAAAUCUUGAAAACACCCAGCUUUUAAAAAGCUCGGGUUCUAUUUUUCGCCGCCACCGCCCGACGACAAAGUGGUACCGCCCGGCGGUGGGUGGUAAUUUUCCUUACCACUUUUCUUGCUUGCCUCUUUGUGAUUUCUCUUGGUGACUCCUGAUCUUUGCCCUAAAUUUUUCAAUCUCAAGAUUUUCCUCACUCAAAUGCAUAUGCACACACAAAAUGUAAUAGACAGAAUUUGAAAAACAGAAAACAAACACAGAAAUUCAAAUUAUUAUACAAAAUUUGGGAAAGUCCCCACAAACACCCAUCAGUAGGUGUUAAAUUUGUUCUCGCUUGGUAUUUUCUUCUUCUUCUUCUUUACGCUAAAUCUCUUCACAAAGUUGAUCGAACCAAGCACAUGUCUCCAUACAUCAAUCAUAGGAGCCUUAAUCUCCAAUUCCUUGAAGAUCUCCAUAAGUACUUGAACCUAUUUUCCUGCCUAUGAUUUUUCUUUUGAGGAAGGGGUUUUUUACAUAACUUUUUUUCUUUCCUCUCUUCCUUUUUUUCUUAAUUUUAUCCUUCCUUAAACUUCUCUUUUUCUUUUUCUUUUCUUUUUUUAUUUUCACAUUUUUUUUCUUUUUUUCUUUUCUUUCAACCACUGCUUUUCCUUUCUCAUCCUUCUUCUCACUCUCAUUCAACUUUUUUGUUUCUAUCUCCUCUACCUUGUCCGCAACAACAACUUUUUCUGUUUUUGUUUCCUCUUCAUACAUCUCUAGCUCUUCUUCUUCUAUCUUUUCCUCCUUGACAACCUUAUCAUUUGUAAAGAUAGUGACUUUGCAUUCUUCUAUAGGGUUAAUUUCAGUAUUAACCCUAAUAAUGCCCAGAGACUUCAAGACCUUUGUUAUCUCAUCUUCCUCUAUCUUUUCUUCAUCAAUAAUCCUAUCAUCCUCAAAGAUAGAAGCUUGACAUUCUUCCUUAGGGUUAACUUCAGUAUUAACCCUAAUAAUACCCAGUGACUUCAACGCAUGAGAGUGUUGUUCCUGCAAUAAAUGUUCUUUGGCUUCCCGCAACGUUUCUUUUCGCACUGAGAAUAAUUUCUGCUUUAAACGUUGUUUAGCUUCCCCC
rnacentral:lncRNA from 1 species